UACGAAGGUGGCAAGCGUUGUUCGGAUUUAUUGGGCGUACAGGGAGCGUAGGCGGUUGGAUAAGCCCUCCGUGAAAUCUCCAGGCUUAACCUGGAAAGUGCAGAGGGGACUGUUCAGCUAGAGGAUGGGAGAGGAGCGCGGAAUUCCCGGUGUAGCGGUGAAAUGCGUAGAGAUCGGGAGGAAGGCCGGUGGCGAAGGCGGCGCUCUGGAACAUUUCUGACGCUGAGGCUCGAAAGCGUGGGGAGCAAACAGG
rnacentral:rRNA from 1 species